rnacentral:rRNA from 1 species
CAUGUAGGCGGAUUAAUAAGUUUGAAGUGAAAUCCUAUAGCUUAACUAUAGAACUGCUUUGAAAACUGUUAAUCUAGAAUGUGGGAGAGGUAGAUGGAAUUUCUGGUGUAGGGGUAAAAUCCGUAGAAAUCAGGAGGAAUACCGAUUGCGAAGGCGAUCUACUGGAACAUUAUUGACGCUGAGAUGCGAAAGCGUGGGGAGCAAACA